ensembl:antisense Gm10069 predicted gene 10069
AGGCUCAUGGGACUGAGCAACUAUUGGAUUCUUGGACUUCCCAUUCACAGCUAACCAUUGUUGGAUUAGUUGGACUUGAGUACAGCAUCCCAGAAGCAACAACAAUAUGUCACUCAUUUGACACGCAAGUAUCUGAGUGAUGACCACUGCUGUACUGUCUUCCAUGGGGAGUCUACUUCCAUUCACCGGGACUAGGUGAGGGAGGGAGGAGAAGGAGGAGUCAAGCAGAGUCCAACCCAGUUCUUAAAGGACUUGACCUAGGAGGAGUCACUAUGGGAUCUAGCCUCCCUUCUAACCUUAUAACUGGGAGUUGGAUUUUGAGAUAUUAGGAAAAAGUAAAUAAAAUCCAUGAAGCAGCCCUACACUCUGUCUGGUCACAGAGCCAUUGCUUGUGGAGACAAUGGCAGGGGACACUUCAUGCCAGUGUCACAUCUGAGGAACUCCCGAAGCAGAAUGAGACCAGCAUCCCUCGCAAGAAUAGGAAGAGGCCUAAUCUAUAGGAACCAAGGGAUGAGAAAUGAAGACAAAAAAAUGUAGACAGAGGUCACAUUCAGGGUCUCUCCACAGACCUGAGUGGAGGAGAAGCCCCCGUGGGAGUUUUGUUGCUUGCUGAUCCACUUCACAAUCUUGGAUGCUGUGGACAGGUCUGAUGAAGACAGGUCCCGUGUGGGCCGGGA